rnacentral:rRNA from 1 species
UACAGAGGUCCCGAGCGUUGUUCGGAUUCAUUGGGCGUAAAGGGUGCGUAGGUGGCGCUGUAAGUGGGGUGUGAAAUCCCGGGGCUUAACUCCGGAACUGCAUUCCAUACUGCGGUGCUUGAGGACUGGAGAGGAGACUGGAAUUUACGGUGUAGCAGUGAGAUGCGUAGAGAUCGUAAGGAAGACCAGUGGCGAAGGCGGGUCUCUGGACAGUUCCUGACACUGAGGCACGAAGGCCAGGGGAGCAAACGGG